UACGUAGGGCGCAAGCGUUGUCCGGAAUUAUUGGGCGUAAAGAGCUCGUAGGUGGCGUGUCGCGUCUGCCGUGAAAGCCCAUGGCUUAACUGUGGGUCUGCGGUGGAUACGGGCAGGCUGGAGGCUGGUAGGGGCAAGGCGGAAUUCCUGGUGUAGCGGUGAAAUGCGCAGAUAUCAGGAGGAACACCGGUGGCGAAGGCAGCUCGCUGGGACGGUACUGACGCUGAGACGCGAAAGCGUGGGGAGCGAACAGG
rnacentral:rRNA from 1 species